rnacentral:sRNA from 1 species
GCAGCUGUGGGGAGAUUUCAGUGCAUUGCCUCCCCUGGGUGCUCUUCAUCUUGGAUUUGAAGGUUGAGAGCAGCAUGUUUUGCCCACUGAAACUCAUCCUGCUGCCAGUGUUACUGGAUUAUUCCUUGGGCCUGAAUGACUUGAAUGUUUCCCCGCCUGAGCUAACAGUCCAUGUGGGUGAUUCAGCUCUGAUGGGAUGUGUUUUCCAGAGCACAGAAGACAAAUGUAUAUUCAAGAUAGACUGGACUCUGUCACCAGGAGAGCAUGCCAAGGACGAAUAUGUGCUAUACUAUUACUCCAAUCUCAGUGUGCCUAUUGGGCGCUUCCAGAACCGCGUACACUUGAUGGGGGACAUCUUAUGCAAUGAUGGCUCUCUCCUGCUCCAAGAUGUGCAAGAGGCUGACCAGGGAACCUAUAUCUGUGAAAUCCGCCUCAAAGGGGAGAGCCAGGUGUUCAAGAAGGCGGUGGUACUGCAUGUGCUUCCAGAGGAGCCCAAAGAGCUCAUGGUCCAUGUGGGUGGAUUGAUUCAGAUGGGAUGUGUUUUCCAGAGCACAGAAGUGAAACACGUGACCAAGGUAGAAUGGAUAUUUUCAGGACGGCGCGCAAAGGAGGAGAUUGUAUUUCGUUACUACCACAAACUCAGGAUGUCUGCGGAGUACUCCCAGAGCUGGGGCCACUUCCAGAAUCGUGUGAACCUGGUGGGGGACGUUUUCCGCAAUGACGGUUCCAUCAUGCUUCAAGGAGUGAGGGAGUCAGAUGGAGGAAACUACACCUGCAGUAUCCACCUAGGGAACCUGGUGUUCAAGAAAACCAUUGUGCUGCAUGUCAGCCCGGAAGAGCCUCGAAGUAUCUAACAUUUGGCUGGGGAGCAUUGAGGGACCUCCUGGCUGGUGCAUGGGGCCAGGACUAGAGUGAGGCCGGAGAGGUUCCUAGGAUGCAAAAUUGAAGGAGGCAUCCCUCUCAGGUGCUGACUCUGGCCUUGCACAACCCUGAGAAUGAGGCCUCCUUAGAGGUGGCUCCUCAGGUGCCUGGCUUGCCUCACCCUAGUUCUGGCCCUGCUGCUAGGCCAAGGAGAGGGGAGCUAAUUUAGUGAAUACCAAUCCUCUGCCAGACCCCACUCAUUGCCAGGGUCAUCUACUGAUGUAAAGAUACAGAAGCUCAGGGAAGGAUUGGAGUUGAUGUCCAAAGUCAGCAUACUUGGUUUCAAGGGAGGUGCUGUAUGUGUUAGAGUGGAGCGGGAAAUGAUCCUAAGCUAGUGAGAGACAGCCAGGAACAGAGAGGAACAUGCAGGCACCAGAACCAAAAAUGGAGGGUUUUCUGAUCAGAGGUUCUGGAUUCUGGCAAACAGUGUGCAUCAAGGCCAGUGCUGUGUAGGAGAGGAAAGACUUGAUUGUGUUGACAGAGAGAGGUUGAUAAGUGAGGGGUUAAAGUUAAACCAUAACCCAGUUAGCAAUCAGGAUGUGGCCUGUGGACUUUGCCUGUCACUAGGGCCUUCAGGAGUUGGCUGUGGUUGGCUGGGGGCAGGGAAGAUUGGGUGAGGAUGGAACAUACCUCAUACCUCAGGCCAGAGACCUAAGUCUGUGGAGGCACCUUGUCUCCAGCUGGAGAGGGGAGCACGGCAGAUCUGUGUGCUUCCUUCUCAGAAGUCCAAUUCACAGAGAAAAUCGAGCCAUUAUGGGGGCUCAUGCAGCUUCUCCACCCACAAACAUAUCUGUGUCUCCCCCAUUCUUAUCUCUGCCCUGCCAUCCUGAGGCAGAGGAAGGUCCCUUCUGCUCUGGGCUUAUCUGGCCCCCUGUGCCCAGGUGGUAUCCUUCUCAGGAACCUUACAACAUGGCUCUUUGAGCUCACUUUCUGUUGGUUUCUACCAUUCAAUGGAUACGUUUGCUCAAUUCUACUACUUAAUUACUCCAGCUCCAUUCUAUGUCUUUUUUUCUUCAGCUCCAUUCUGUGUCUUUCUUUUUCUUAAGAUUGCUUUCCUGAGAUACAAUUCACAUACCAUACAAUUUGCCCAUUUAAAGCGUUCAGCUCAAUGGUUUUAGUACAUUCAGAGUUGUACAACCACCACCACAAUCACGUGUUUCUUUCUCAACAUAGCCAAAUAGCUUGCUAAAGGUCUGUGUUUGGUAUCUUACUGUCUCAUCUCCCAUUAACUCCUCAGCGCACUGCAUUCUGGCUUAUUCUACCUCUACUCCAGCUUAGAUCACCAAUGGCACUGCAAUUAUCCAUCCUCAGCCUUCUCUCCUUCAGUAGCAUUUAUAUGCACUCUAUGUUGGACACAGUUCCACACACACCCAUGGAUAUACUUAGUCAACUCUACACAAGUUUUCCACAAAUCCUUCAUAUGCAACAUGUCUAACCUACCCCUGCACACCCCUCCUCAGCCCAUCUCCCCAACCUCAGUUGUCUAACUAGAUGCCUGGGGGUGUGCUUGAUUCUUUCCCUUUCCUAGACCCCUAAUCUAACAGGUCAGGUCAACAAGUCCUUGACUCCUACUACAGACUCUUGAAGUUGUCUUCCUUCCAGUCUGUCACUGCCGCCUUAGUUCUGGCUGUCUUCAUCUCUGUCUUGAACUGUAGGCCUCUAACCAGUCUCUGCUUUCUCUCUCAGCCACUGCUCCUCAUUCUUCACGCGGCUCUUGGUGCCAUCUUUCUAAAUCACAUUAAGAACUUUCUCUUCCACUGCUAAUAAUCUUUCAAUGUUUUUUUCAUUGCCUGCAGAAAAAUGCCAGAUUCUUGGUUGAGAUAGUCAAGGUCCUUCCUGACUUGGACCCUGUCAUCUCUCCAGCGAAAUUCUCCAGCACACCCACAGAUGCCACUUUUGUGCCAGACCCAUUGAACUCUUUCUAGUUUCUAAAAUCAUCAUCCUGUCAGGCCUCCAGAUCUCAUGCAGAACAUCCCCUCUGUCCUUCUCCAUAUUGUCUGCCCAACAAACUGGAUGUUUCCUGUAAGUCUUAGGUUAAACUUUAGAACUUUUGCUGGCAAAUUCUCACUUGCUGCAUAUAGAAUUGGACACCCUUUUUUCUGUGCCCCUCUGUUCCCCAUACAGACUUCUGUUGUAGCGCCUACAGCAGCCUGUGGUUUUCUGUUGACGUGUUUGUCUUCUUCCUUGGAAGCAGGGACCACACAUCAUCAUUCAUCUCUGAAUCCCCUGUACCUAGUGCUGUCUGGCCCUGAGGAGGUGUUUGCUUUAUGUAUUUAGAAAGAACCAUGCAGAUGAGUAGAAGGUUCCAUAUGGGCAGAAGUACCUCCGGAGGCUUUACUUGGUAUUGUCACUGUGGGGCUGAGUCUUGCGGCAUGAGUUCUUUUGAAGACAACCACUUGCCCUAAGGAAGAUCAGCAGCCUCUAAAAUGCCUGUUAUUUCUGGGUCACUUGUUAAGCCAAAUUUUAGAAUAGAAUUGUUGAUGUGAAAGGAAACUUUACUAGAGGUGAACUGCUAGCCUCUUCUCCCACCCACCUUAAUCUACAUCUUAGGGUAAACGAGGGGGUUAGACUUUGGUUCUCAAUCUCAUGGAGACAGUGUCCCUAGUGUCCAGAUAUGGGGUGGAAUCUGGCCUUCCCCUCCGCUUCCUGGCCUGGCUGGUGCUACUUGGUAUAGGGCUGUGGGGCUCUCAGCUCUUUGCCAAAGUAUUGAGACCCUCUCCUUGCUUUUCUACUUUCCCAAGCACUGGUGACCCCGGCAGCCCUGAGGCCUCUGGUCUUGGGUGGUAAUCAGCUGGUGAUCAUCGUGGGAAUUGUCUGUGCCACAAUCCUGCUGCUCCCUGUUCUGAUAUUGAUCGUGAAGAAGACCUGUGGAAAUAAGAGUUCAGUGAAUUCUACAGUCUUGGUGAAGAACACGAAGAAGACUAAUCCAGAGAUAAAAGAAAAACCCUGCCAUUUUGAAAGAUGUGAAGAGGAGGUGAACACACGCUUCAGCCUAAAACACUAAGUAGAUGCAGGCCUGGGCCGUUCUCAUUCCUCCGGGAACCAUAUCUUACCCAUUGUAUGUCGCAGCUUGCAGGCCAGUGCUUGGCACAGAGCAGGGACUCAGGAAGCCUUUGUCACUAAAGUAAGAGCCUCUGCGGAGUACAGUGCAUGGGGCCGGCUGGGCCAGCCCCGGGCAGCAGAUCCUGGUAUUGGGCUGAGGAAAGAGCACUGCGCUUGGAGUCAGAAAGAUCUGCCACCUCCCUGAGUCUCAUCAGCAAAAUGAGGAUAAGGAUAAAGAUAUUAUAGUUGCCCAGCCUGCUUGACGGGGUUGUUGUAAGGUUCACAUAAGAUGAUGAUAUGCAAAUGCUUUGUAAUCUAGGAGGUGCUAUUUGUCUAAAGUCUAAUGGAGAAUUAUAAUACAUCCAGGAGUUAAGGAGUUCUAAUGCUUAAAAUGAAAUAGUCUAAGAUCUUAGCAAGAAAGGAUUAAGAAGGACUUUUCUCUCCAUAUUGAUUUUGUAAUGGAGUUAUAAAUAAUUGCUUCUAGAGACUGAGAAAUGGAUUGGUUUUCUUUAACUCCUAUUCUUUCUUUUCUUUCUUUAAUUUUUAAAAAACUCUUUGAAUAGUUACCUUUCUCUAUUUUGGGCUGUUUUUGUCCCAAGAGUAGGAUUUUCUCCCAGUAGAGUGCAGUGGUCCAAGAAUGGGCCACUGGAUGAUACUGCUUUACCAACAAGUGACAGGACCAUGAACCUCACAGUUGUGAGCUUCAAUGAGGGCUGGCCCUGCCACAUAAAUCCUCUGAGGGAGAUGAUGACAAUUCACUGCUGAUUAAUGCCAUUCUGCCUUUACUGUAAUUAGAAGGAAAUAACCCCAGAAUACAAGGAAUUUAGCAAGAUAAGGAACCCCUGCUGCUACCUAAACAUCCAUCUAAACAAAGAUGUGUGGCUUUUGAAGCAAAGAGUUUGGUUCUUAAGACUGUGUUCUUUGACAGUUAAUUUUCAAGAAGACUGAAGACUGAAUUAUCAUUGUUGAGAAUUCUCUAGGUCUCAGUAACCCUCUGAACCAGCAGUUUGGGUGGUCGAUGCCCAGCAAAUAGGAGUGGGUGGCCUUUUCUCUGGUGUAUAAGAUUCAUCUAAUUUUUAGGAAUUUGUGUACCAUUUUCCCCCUCUAGAAACACAUUUACUCCCCAAUAAUUGUACGGGAGGUGAUCAAGGAAGAAGAACCAAGUGAAAAAUCAGAGGCCACCUACAUGACCAUGCACCCAGUUUGGCCUUCUCUGAGGUCAGAUCGGAACAACUCACUUGAAAAAAAGUCAGGUGGGGGAAUGCCAAAAACACAGCAAGCCUUUUGAGAAGAAUGGAGAGUCCCUUCAUCUCAGCAGCGGUGGAGACUCUCUCCUGUGUGUGUCCUGGGCCACUCUACCAGUGAUUUCAGACUCCCGCUCUCCCAGCUGUCCUCCUGUCUCAUUGUUUGGUCAAUACACUGAAGAUGGAGAAUUUGGAGCCUGGCAGAGAGACUGGACAGCUCUGGAGGAACAGGCCUGCUGAGGGGAGGGGAGCAUGGACUUGGCCUCUGGAGUGGGACACUGGCCCUGGGAACCAGGCUGAGCUGAGUGGCCUCAAACCCCCCAUUGGAUCAGACCCUCCUGUGGGCAGGGUUCUUAGUGGAUGAGUUACUGGGAAGAAUCAGAGAUAAAAACCAACCCAAAUCA